rnacentral:rRNA from 1 species
UACGGGGGGGGCAAGCGUUGCUCGGAAUUACUGGGCGUAAAGGACGCGUAGGCGGACAGUUUAGUCAGAGGUGAAAGCCCAGGGCUCAACCUUGGAAUAGCCUUUGAUACUGGCUGUCUUGAGUUCGGGGAGAGGUGAGUGGAAUGCCGAGUGUAGAGGUGAAAUUCGUAGAUAUUCGGCGGAACACCAGUGGCGAAGGCGACUCACUGGCCCGAUACUGA